rnacentral:sRNA from 1 species
UUACAAUCAAGCUCUCAAACUGGAUGC